ensembl:snoRNA
UGUGUGUGUGUGUGUGUGUAUUCAACUGGUGGACAAAGGCUUGAAAGACAGGUGCAAAACUAAAUCCUCUUUUGCAACCCAGCAUUCAUUGUUCAGUGUGAGUUUUGAUGACCACAAGAAGGAAUAUG